ACCUGGGUGGGGCGAGGCGGGCUGCGUCACGGCUGGGGCAGGCAGAGGCGUUCCCCGGGGAGCCUCUACUGCGCCGGGAGCACUGAGGCGCGGACGGCGAGACUCGGCCUCGGCGGUGCCCCGAGAGCGGGGCAGUGUCCCAAAUGCUACCGGACUGCUCUGCUACUAAAUUCUGUGUAUAAACAAGUUUGUGAGGAUUUAAGAUAACGUAUAGAGAAGAAAAAAAAUAUACGCUAUUAAAUAUACUCCAACUUAUGCACAAAGAGCCAAGUAACAUUCAUGGGAGUUUGGAUCAGAUGUGCAGUCAUUUACUUCUCAGCAUGCAUAUUGCUAGGUGUAGGGUGACUAAGAGCUCAGCUGGAGAUGAUCAGCAAUCUGGAAGAAAUGGCAUUUCCCAUAUUAGAAACCAUAUGAAAGUGGAAAAGCAUGAUUAAAAUGACAGACCUAGCAGUAGGAAUCAAGAAUACUCCCAAGAGCCCUUGGCAGAGGUCAAAUCUCAUUUUACUAAAAUUAGCUCAAGUAGAUGAACCUAAAACAAAGAAAGAGGACAUGCAAGUGAAUUAAAUCUGUUGUAGUAGAUAUAAAACACCUUCUUUGACUUUUGUUAAUAUUUUAAAACUUGCUUUUUGUGAAACUCUAUACUGCCUCAGCCUGUUUCCUCACUUGAUCAUGUAGCAUAGCCACACCAUGCUUAUUUUAACAUCACAUUAAUUUCUGCAGUAAUAGAUGAUGAUCUCAUUGCAGGAAGAAGUUGCAGAGAGAAAAGGUUCUCUUGGAAUAUCAGUAGUAAAGACAAGAACAAAUACUGUCUUAAGAACUACAUUUUUAUUUGAGGCUUAUUCUUACAGAAAGACUCGUUGAUUUUCUGGGGUUUAUGCAGGAUCUUCUUAAAAAGUUUCAAGCCAUUUUGGUUUAGCUGUUAUGAGAAAUAUUUCGUUCCUCCUGAGAGCUUGUGAAAUUGGUGUGAAGAAUUUGGGUGGAAUCCUCUGAAGUGUGGGAUCUCCCAGGUCUGUGGGGGAUGAUUCUCUGUCAAUAUAUUGUUGUAUAAAGUGGGGAAAACAUU